CCUACGGGUGGCAGCAGUGGGGAAUAUUGCACAAUGGGGGAAACCCUGAUGCAGCGACGCCGCGUGAGUGAAGAAGUAAUUCGUUAUGUAAAGCUCUAUCAGCAGGGAAGAAAAUGACGGUACCUGAGUAAGAAGCCCCGGCUAACUACGUGCCAGCAGCCGCGGUAAUACGUAGGGGGCAAGCGUUAUCCGGAUUUACUGGGUGUAAAGGGAGCGUAGACGGCAGUGCAAGUCUGGAGUGAAAUCCCUCGGCUUAACUGAGGAACUGCAACUAAAACUACUUCCCUUGAGUACUGGAGAGGAAAGUGGAAUUCCUAGUGUAGCGGUGAAAUGCGUAGAUAUUAGGAGGAACACCAGUGGCGAAGGCGACUUUCUGGACAGUAACUGACGUUGAGGCACGAAAGUGUGGGGAGUAAACAGGAUUAGAUACCCUGGUAGUC
rnacentral:rRNA from 1 species